GACGAGGGAUCCUAGCGUUGUUCGGAAUCACUGGGCGUAAAGCGUUUGUAGGCGGCUCUAUAAGUCGGGUGUGAAAUCCCACGGCUCAACCGUGGAAGUGCAUUCGAAACUGCAGAGCUUGAAUAUGGAAGAGGAGAGUAGAAUUGCUGGUGUAGUGGUGAAAUACGUAGAUAUCAGCAGGAAUACCGGUGGCGAAGGCGGCUCUCUGGUCCAAUAUUGACGCUGAGAAACGAAAGUGCGGGGAUCAAACAGG
rnacentral:rRNA from 1 species